UCGUGAAUAGCUUAAUCGGUAAAAGCCCCAGACUAUCAAUCUAGAGAUCGCAGGUUCGAGCCCUGCUUUACGAG